AGUUAGGGAUCUUCCGCAAUGGGCGAAAGCCUGACGGAGCGACACUGCGUGAGGGAAGGAGUCCUUCGGGAUGUAAACCUCUGUCAAGAGGGGAAGAAACAGACGGUACCCUCAAAGGAAGCCCCGGCUAACUACGUGCCAGCAGCCGCGGUAAAACGUAGGGGGCGAGCGUUAUCCGGAAUUACUGGGCGUAAAGGGCGUGCAGGCGGUCAGGUGUAUCGAGGGUGAAAUCCCACGGCUCAACUGUGGGAAGACUCUCGAGAUUAUCUGACUAGAGGGUAGAAGAGGGAGAUAGAAUUCCCGGUGUAGCGGUGGAAUGCGUAGAUAUCGGGAAGAAUGCCGGUGGUGAAGACGGUCUCCCAGGCUACUCCUGACGCUGAGGCGCGAAAGCUAGGGGAGCGAACGGGAUUAGAUACCCCGGUAGUCCUAGCCGUAAACGAUGGACACCAGGUGUAGGGGUUCACAGCCCCUGUGCCGGAGCUAACGCACUAAGUGUCCCGCCUGGGGAGUACGGCCGCAAGGCUAAAACUCAAACGGAAUUGACGGGGGCCCGCACAAGCGGUGGAGCAUGUGGUUUAAUUCGAUGCAACGCGAAGGACCUUACCAGGGUUUGACAUGCUGGUGGUAGGAGCCCGAAAGGGUAACGACCCUAGUAGGCGACUAUUAGGGAGCCAGCACAGGUGCUGCAUGGCUGUCGUCAGCUCGUGUCGUGAGAUGUUGGGUUAAGUCCCGCAACGAGCGCAACCCUCAUUCCUAGUUACCAACAGGUAAAGCUGGGGACUCUAGGGAAACUGCCAGGGAUAACCUGGAGGAAGGGGGGGAUGACGUCAAGUCCGCAUGGCCCUUAUGCCCUGGGCGACACACGUGCUACAAUGGGUGGUACAGAGGGAAGCGAACCCGAGAGGGGGAGCAAAUCUCAGAAAGCCAUCCUCAGUUCGGAUUGCAGGCUGAAACCCGCCUGCAUGAAGUCGGAAUCGCUAGUAACCGUGGGUCAGCCAUACCACGGUGAAUACGUUCCCGGGCCUUGUACACACCGCCCGUCAAGCCACCCGAGUCUAGUGCACCCGAAGUCGCUGACCCAACCCGAGAGGGAGGGAGGCGCCGAAGGUGUGCUCGGUGAGGGGGGCU
rnacentral:rRNA from 1 species